CUAAACGGAGGAACAUGGACGUG
rnacentral:piRNA from 1 species